UAAGCUUCUCGGCCUUUUGGCUAAGAUCAAGAAUAGUAUCUGUUCUUAUCAGUUUAAUAAUGUCACUAAUUCUGAUAUGUUCACCAUAUCCCUAGUUACUGGUUGUUGUGGUUUGGUUUUGAUACAUUUUAAUGAUUUUUAUACCCAGC
ensembl:snRNA U2 U2 spliceosomal RNA